rnacentral:rRNA from 1 species
GACGAACGCUGGCGGCGUGCUUAACACAUGCAAGUCGAACGGAAAGGCCCUGCUUUUGUGGGGUGCUCGAGUGGCGAACGGGUGAGUAACACGUGAGUAACCUGCCCUUGACUUUGGGAUAACUUCAGGAAACUGGGGCUAAUACCGGAUAGGAGCUCCUGCUGCAUGGUGGGGGUUGGAAAGUUUCGGCGGUUGGGGAUGGACUCGCGGCUUAUCAGCUUGGUGGUGGGGUAGUGGCUUACCAAGGCUUUGACGGGUAGCCGGCCUGAGAGGGUGACCGGCCACAUUGGGACUGAGAUACGGCACAGACUCCUACGGGAGGCAGCAGUGGGGAAUAUUGCACAAUGGGCGGAAGCCUGAUGCAGCAACGCCGCGUGCGGGAUGACGGCCUUCGGGUUGUAAACCGCUUUCGCCUGUGACGAAGCGUGAGUGACGGUAAUGGGUAAAGAAGCACCGGCUAACUACGUG